UCGUACAAAAUGUGAGGGGCAUGCAAAAGGGCUGUCGCCGACUCAAAUUUGUGCACGCCCGGGUGUGUCCCCUCACAUAGUAAUCCAUCUCACCCUUUGUGCAUCACCGCGUGGGCACCCUUUGGGAUCAUCUCAGAGGGGGCUCACGUUUUCACACAAACCCCCCCUUUUAAAAAAGUGUAGAAUGUCCUCAUUUAUGCGCUAACCCGCAAUCAAUAC
rnacentral:misc_RNA from 1 species